rnacentral:rRNA from 1 species
GACGAACGCUGGCGGCGUGCUUAACACAUGCAAGUCGAACGGAAAGGCCCUGCUUUUGUGGGGUGCUCGAGUGGCGAACGGGUGAGUAACACGUGAGUAACCUGCCCUUGACUUUGGGAUAACUUCAGGAAACUGGGGCUAAUACCGGAUAGGAGCUCCUGCUGCAUGGUGGGGGUUGGAAAGUUUCGGCGGUUGGGGAUGGACUCGCGGCUUAUCAGCUUGUUGGUGGGGUAGUGGCUUACCAAGGCUUUGACGGGUAGCCGGCCUGAGAGGGUGACCGGGCCCCAUGGGGCUGGAUAGCCCGCCCGCACUCCUCGGGGGGCCGGCGGGGGGAAUUAUUGCCGAGGGGGGGGAGCCCUAAUGCAGCACCCCCGCGGGGGGGAGGCCGCCCUUCGGUUUGAAACCCGCUUCCGCCUGUGACGAAGGGUGAGGGACGUUAAGGGGUAAAGAACCCCCGCCUAACUACGUC